GAUGAACGCUGGCGGCGUGCUUAACACAUGCAAGUCGAACGAUGAUGCCCAGCUUGCUGGGUGGAUUAGUGGCGAACGGGUGAGUAACACGUGAGUAACCUGCCCUUGACUCUGGGAUAAGCCUGGGAAACUGGGUCUAAUACCGGAUACGACCAUCUGGCGCAUGUCAUGGUGGUGGAACGCUUUUGUGGUUUUGGAUGGACUCGCGGCCUAUCAGCUUGUUGGUGGGGUAAUGGCCUACCAAGGCGAUGACGGGUAGCCGGCCUUAGAGGGUGACCGGCCACACUGGGACUGAGAGACGGCCCAGACGCCAACGGGAGGCAGAAGGGGGGAAUAUUGCACAAUGGGCGCAAGCCUGAUGCAGCGGCGCCGGGUGAGGGAUGACGGCCUUCGGGUUGUAAACCUCUGUCAGUAGGGAAGAAGCGAAAGUGACGGUACCUGCAGAAGAAGCGCCGGCUAACUACGUG
rnacentral:rRNA from 1 species